rnacentral:lncRNA from 1 species
AGUGUCUGCCUCCCCCAUCACAUGGCUGGCUUCUGUGCAUCUGUGUCUCUCAUCUCCUUAUAAGGACACCAGCUGGGCAUGUGGCUCAUGCCUGUAAACCCAGCACUUUGGGAUCCCAAGGCAGGUGGAUCAUGAGGUCAGGAAUUCGAGACCAGCCGGGCCAACAUGGUGAAAUGCCGUCUCUACUAAAGAUACAAAAAAUCAGCUGGGCGUGGUGGAGUAUGCCUGUAAUCCCAGCUACUCAGGAGGCUGAGAUGGAAAAAGAAUCGCAAAUAAGCAUAAUGUGAAGAGCAUGAGCUUUGGAAUAAGCAAGCCUGGAAUUACAAUUUUCUUUUAUUAGCUCUGUGGCUGUAAUACUCAACUUUUGCAAGCUUCAGUUUCCUCGUCUGUGAAAUGGAAUAAUAGCACUUACCUCAUUGGCUGUUGUAUGGAUUAAAUGAGACCAUGACUAUGGAUGUAUGGCAUUUGGUACCCAAUAACCCCUCAAUAAUCGGCAGCUAUAAUUAUUCAUAAUAAUAAUGGUGGUAGCAACAAACCCAGCCCAAACAUCUGAAGGACCGAUCACUAAAAAGAAGAUGAACUCAGUCCUACGUAGUAACAAGAAUGUGACAUCUAUGUUGUUGCCAAAAGUCUGGAGGAGUUGCCAGGACCAGAGAGAAGGAGGUGGUGAGGCCGGCCUGGAAGAGGGAGGGGACAGAUGUCAAGGACCCCAAUCUUGAGGUGGAAAGUUCUGUGAUUAACCCAGAUGAAUGUCUCUAACCUCCAACUCUUCUGUUCUCAGAGUUUUAAUGGGGCACACCGUGUGCUGGGCAUUGACAUAGAUGGGAAAAGCAUGACCUAAAAUAAGGGCUGGAAGCCAAGACUGGGAGGAAGGGCAAAGGGAGCAGGCAGCCUGGCACCAGGUACCAGUGAGGUGUCUGCUCUUUGUCCCCAUCACCUGUCAGCUAAGGAAUUCUGCAUGUCAUCAGUGCAAUAAAAUGUGAUCGCCAGAGUGAAAACCUUGUAAUAGACCAGCUGUGGCUUCUCUCAACACCAGUAUGUCCAAGGAGGAUGCAUUUUUAUUGCUUUUGUGGUCUUAACAAAAAAGAUUCAUGAGCAUUGUAUAAAAGGCAUAUUAAAACAAUUCGGUAAAAGGAUGAAAGAAAAAUAGAGUGCUUGUAGAUUUUUUUUCAGGACGCACACACCUAUACCUGUAUAAAAACGUUGUAUUACGGAAGCUCUCACACAUACACAAAAGUAGCAUGAAUAGCACGUUGGACCCCGAUGUACUCAAGACCCACCUUCAGCAAUGGGAGUGCUGUGUUUAUGAGAGUCCCAAUUAAAGCAACAUUGCUCUUAACAUUUUCCCCAUGUGUCAACAAGCUCCAGUGACCCCAUAAUGCAAACUUAUUCAAUCCCCUGAUAUCCAAGCACCUGAAAUUACCCCUCAUCUCAUUCCCCAACUGCCUCGAGCUCCUAUCUGAAGUAAGAGAGAGGUAAGUUCACCAAUUUGCCCUAAAUUACACUGGAAUCCGGGCAAGUGCCUUUAACACAGGAUCUGUUCAGUAAGAGUUGAAAAAAUAAUAAUAGCAGAAGAAGAAUGAAUGAGUUUUGAGCACUCACUAUGUGCUAUGCCGUCUUCUGAGUGCUCUCCCUGUUUUAUUUCACUGAAUUCUCACCCCAAGCCUGAACUGUAUAUUCUGUCUUCAUCCCUGUUUUACAAAUGAGGAAAUCUGACACAAGCAAGCUAAACCACUUGCCCAAUUUCACGCAGUUAUUUAGGGGCAGGGCUAGGAUUUGAACCCACACCUCCUUACUUGAUAGUCUAUCUUCUUAGCCAGUACACUGGGGUGCGGUUCUGAAUCAGGUGACCGCUGAAAAAAAAGCCUGACACAGGCAAAGUGAUUCCUGCCAGAACAGGUGAGGAUGAAGAAGAAAGUUGCCUUUAUCAAACACUGCAGUGCAAUACACAGAGACCAGGCACUGUGCUAAAGCAAAAACUGUAACCUUCCACAAAGACCAUCACUACCUUACACAAAAAAUAUUUCAUCUGCCCAGCAGCUGCCUAUCCUACCCCAGACUGGCAUCACUCUUGCUAUUUGUUCUUUGUAGCCAAGUAAAAAUUAUUUCAGAACAAUUCUGUUUUGAAAUGUCAUGUCCUAACAGCCUCUUGCCAUAGAGCUACAGGUCAUGAUUGCGAGAUAAUAUUCGUCAUCCAAACUGGUAGAGGCCCUUCCUGAAUGAGUGGCUGUCCUGGCUCCUCAGUGCCAGGCUGUGGGUGGGAUUGCAUGCUUUUGAAAAAAAUAAGUGCCUUAUACGCAAGUAUGCAUAGAAAAAAGUCCGGAAAAACAUCAACCAAAUAUUAGCGAGUGCCAGCGUCUGCCCACUCACAGCGGCCGGG